GCCACAUCUCCCACGACUGUGAUAGGAUGCUUCUCCUUAGGGAUACAGACUGACAGAGAGAGAGACGGUAAUGAGGCCCGUUAUCUACUGACCCAGAGUCAGAUGAAGCCCUUUAUCUACUGACCCAGAGUCAGAUGAAGUCCUUUAUCUACUGACCCAGAGUCAGAUGAAGUCCUUUAUCUACUGACCCAGAGUCAGAUGAAGUCCUUUAUCUACUGACCCAGAGUCAGAUGAAGUCCUUUAUCUACUGACCCAGAGUCAGAUGAAGUCCUUUAUCUACUGACCCAGAGUCAGAUGAAGUCCUUUAUCUACUGACCCAGAGUCAGAUGAAGUCCUUUAUCUACUGACCCAGAGUCAGAUGAGGUCCUUUAUCUACUGACCCAGAGUCAGAUGAAGUCCUUUAUCUACUGACCCAGAGUCUGAUUAACAGGGAACUGUGUGUCUCUAACAGGGAACUGUGUGUCUCUAACAGGGAACUGUGUGUCUCUAACAGGGAACUGUGUGUCUCUAACAGGGAACUGUGUGUUUCUAACAGGGAACUGUGUGUCUCUAACAGGGAACUGUGUGUCUCUAACAGGGAACUGUGUGUCUCUAACAGGGAACUGUGUGUUUCUAACAGGGAACUGUGUGUCUCUAACAGGGAACUGUGUGUCUCUAACAGGGAACUGUGUGUCUCUAACAGGGAACUGUGUGUCUCUAACAGGGAACUGUGUGUCUCUAACAGGGAACUGUGUGUCUCUAACAGGGAACUGUGUGUCUCUAACAGGGAACUGUGUGUCUCUAACAGGGAACUGUGUGUCUCUA